rnacentral:rRNA from 1 species
GACGAACGCUGGCGGCGUGCCUAAUACAUGCAAGUCGAACGCAGUGGGGACGGGUGAGUAACACGUGGGUAACCUCCCAUCAGAGGGGAUAACACUUGGAAACAGGUGCUAAACCGAUACUGAUGGAUGAACCCGCGGUGCAUUAGCUAGUGGGUGGGGUAACGGGGCACCAAGGCCACGGUGCAUAGCCGACCUGAGAGAGUGAUCGGCCACACUGUGACUGAGACACGGCCCAGACUCCGACGGGAGGCAGCAGUAGGGAAUCUUCGGCAAUGGACGAAAGUCUGACCGAGCCACGCCGCGUGAGUGAAGAAGGUUGUCGGGUCGUAAAACUCUGUGGUUAGAGAAGCGGUAUCUAACCAGAAAGCCACGGCUAACUACGUGCCAGCAGCCGCGGUAAUUC